GCCCGGCCUUAGGGUAAGACAGGACGAUGUCCAGGCAGAAUUCGAGGGCAUCUUCCUCAGGCCAGACAGCUUCGUCAGGCCCGGCAACUCGUCCAGUGGCACCUGGAGAAGCGCUGACCUCGUCACCUGAAGCCUUGGGAGGAGGACGGUCUGUGGAAUGGGAUCCGGUGAAGUCAUUUCCCUCAAACGCGGAGGGUUUAAAAGGCCAGAUCCCUGAACUUGAGAACCCGGAGGUGAUGUUCUUCACUGUUGCAGCCUCUGGUGGGACGGGUGAUUGUCCAGCAGGCGGAGCAGCUUCGACUCCUCGGACACGGGUGUGACUCCGCUGAGGUCACUGACCUGACCUGCUUCUGCCCCAUCUGGGCGCACCUGGACAGUGGUGACCCCUGUAAAUAGUUGUGUGA